rnacentral:rRNA from 1 species
ACGGGAGGCAGCAGUGAGGAGUAUUGGUCAAUGGGCGGAAGCCUGAACCAGCCAAGUCGCGUGAAGGAUGAAGGUAUUAUGUAUUGUAAACUUCUUUAGCAGUGGAGCGAUAAGGGGAUCGUGCUCCCUGAUGCAAGUACACUGAAAAUAAGGAUCGGCUAACUCCGUGCCAGCAGCCGCGGUAAUACGGAGGAUCCGAGCGUUAUCCGGAUUUAUUGGGUUUAAAGGGUGCGCAGGCGGCUUUUUAAGUCAGUGUUAAAAUCGUGGGGCUCAACCCCAUCCUGCCGUUGAUACUGGAGAGCUUGAGUGCGGUUGAGGUUGGCGGAAUUCGUCGUGUAGCGGUGAAAUGCAUAGAUAUGACGAAGAACUCAGAUUGCGUAGGCAGCUGACCAAGCCGUAAAUGACGCUCAUGCACGAAAGUGCGGGGAUCGAACAGGAUUAGAUACCCUGGUA